rnacentral:rRNA from 1 species
UACGAAGGGGGCUAGCGUUGUUCGGAUUUACUGGGCGUAAAGCGCGUGUAGGCGGGUCGUUAAGUUGGGGGUGAAAUCCCGAGGCUCAACCUCGGAACUGCCUUCAAAACUGGCGACCUGGACUCAAGCAGAGGCAAGUGGAAUUGCGAGUGUAGUGGUGAAAUACGUAGAGAUUGGGAAGAACACCAGUGGCGAAGGCGGCUAUCUGGACGGUUUCUGACGCUAAGACGCGAAAGCGUGGGGAGCAAACAGG